CGUUGGCGCGAUCGUCCUGCGCGCAGGGGUGGACGACACCAAGCUGCGGCAGACGGAGGUUCUGAAGAGGGACUUAAGCAGCCUGAUCGAGACGGUUCGCAGCACGUCGCCCGCGACGAGGAUCAUCGUGUCAGGACCGCUUCCCACGUAUCGACGUGGGCACGAAAGGCUUUUCCGUGCUGAUGGCCUGCACCCCAGCAGAGUCGGAGCGGAACUGCUGUCGGACAACAUCUCCAGGACGCUACGCUCCAUUUGACUAGAAUUCACAAGCUCCAGUGUGGAUCCAGAACACUUAAGAAGAGAUGAUGCCAACCCCACAGAGGACUUCAGAUGAUGCCAACCCUGAAAACAUACAGCACUACCGAAUUCUGCUACUAAUUUAUAGUGUUCUUUGUCUGUUUGAUUACGUCAUUAAUUGAUCUUUACCACACAUC